rnacentral:misc_RNA from 1 species
AACGCAAAUUGCACUCCUCAGUGAUCUGGGGAGUAUGCCUGGUUGAGGGUCAAUAGCAAACGUGAAUUUUUCGCGGAUAUGAGUUUUCCGGUAUUACACAUGCUGGUGACUUUAAAAUAAAUUUUCGGUUAAAGUCAAAACGUGCUAUGUAACGUGGUUCGUUGAAAACUUGAACUCGACAUUAUGUUUGCAUUCAUUUCGUUCGAGUGAUGGGUGCGUCAACAUAUAUUUUUUUUUAUGACCUCAACUCAAGCAAGAUUACCCGCUGAACUUAA